rnacentral:rRNA from 1 species
UAGGGAAUCUUCCACAAUGGACGAAAGUCUGAUGGAGCAACGCCGCGUGAGUGAAGAAGGGUUUCGGCUCGUAAAGCUCUGUUGGUAGUGAAGAAGGAUAGAGGUAGUAACUGGCCUUUAUUUGACGGUAAUCAACCAGAAAGUCACGGCUAACUACGUGCC